rnacentral:tRNA from 1 species
AUUUAUAUAGUUUAAAUAAAACAUUACAUUUUCAUUGUAAAAAUAAUACAUACUUUUAUUUAUAAAUA